rnacentral:lncRNA from 1 species
GCCUCAGCCUCCCUAGUUGGGAUCACAGGCAUGAGCCAUUAUGCCCAACUAAUUUUUGCAUUUUUAGUAGACACGGGGUUUCUUCAUGUUGGCCAGGCUGGUCUCGAACUCAGCCUCAGGUGAUCCACCCACCUCAGCCUCCCAAAGUGCUGGGAUUACAGGUGUGAGCCACUGUGCCCGGCCUAUUUCCCUUUUAAAAUGGAAUGUUUAACAGUAUCCAAGUCACCUUUUUAAUGCUUUGCUGCUUAAAAAUUUCUUCUGCCAGAUACCCUAAAUCAUCUCUCUGAUGUUCAAAGUUCCACAAAUCUCUAGGGCAGAGGCAAAAAUGCCACCAGUGUCUUUGCUAAAACAUAACAAGUGUCACCUUUGCUCCAGUUCCCAAUAAGUUCCUCAUCUUCAUCUGAGACCACCUCAGCCUGGACCUUAUUGUUCAUAUCACUAUCAGCAUUUUUGUCAAAGCCAUUCAACAAGUCUCUAGGAGGUUCCAAACUUUCCCAUGUUUUCCUAUCUUCUUCUGAGCUCUCCAACCUGUUCCAAUCUCUGCCUGUUACCCAGUUUCAAAAUUCCUUCCACAUUUUCAGGUAUCUUUUCAGCAAUGCCCCACUCUUGGUACCAACUUCUGUAUUAGUUCAUUUUCACACUGCUGAUAAAGACAUACCCAAGACUGGGAAGAAAGAAAGGUUUAAUUGGACUUACAGUUCCACAUGGCUGGGGAGGCCUCAGAAUCAUGGCAGGAGGCAAAAUGCACUUCUUACAUGGUGGCAGCAAGAGAAAAAUGAGGAAGAACCGAAAGUGGAAACCCCUGAUAAACCCAUCAGAUCUUGUGAGACUUAGUCACUAUCAUGAGAAUAGUGCGGGAAAGACUGGCCCCCAUGAUUCAAUUACCUCUGCCUGGGUCCCUCCUACAACACAUGGGAAUUCUGGGAGACACAAUUCAA